GGCAGAGGAUGCAAGCGUUAUCCGGAAUGAUUGGGCGUAUAGCGUCUGUAGGUGGCUUUUUAAGUCCGCCGUCAAAUCCCAGGGCUCAACCCUGGACAGGCGGUGGAAACUACCAAGCUGGAGUACGGUAGGGGUAGAGGGAAUUUCCAGUGAAGUGGUGAAAUGCGAUAGAUAUUGGAAAGACCACCAUGGCGAAGGCACUCUACUGGGCCACUACUGGCA
rnacentral:rRNA from 1 species